UAAAAACCAAGCAGACUACAUUAACCUGCUGCGUAUUUCGAACUUAGAAUUAUUACAAGUUGUUUUACUUGAUUGUAAAAUGCUUGCUUAAUUCUUAUCUACUGGAUACUCUACUCUGUACUUAAUUGUAUGGAGUAUCGCCUAGCCAGCGGAGUUGAGGUUAAUUAACUCCUGACUUUGUACCAAGGAGUAAAAUUCUGAAGUGUGAUUAUGGGGUCAAGUUAAUUGAUUAUAAUGGGGUGCCAGUUAAUUUACUUUGAGUAAAUUAGAGUGUUCAAAGCAGCCUCUUGGGGCUUUGAAUAAUUUAGCAUGGGAUAAUGAAAUAGGAUUGGAUUCCUAUUUGUUGGUUUAAUGAAUCCAAUAAUGAUUAAGAGGGACAGUUGGGGGCACUCAUAUUAAGUGGUUAGCGGUGAAAUGUGUUGACCCACUUAAGAUGAACUAAAGCGAAAGCAUUUGCCAAGGAUGUUUUCAUUAAUCAAGAACGAAAGUUAAGGGAUCGAAGACGAUUAGAUACCGUCGUAGUCUUAACUAUAAACUAUGCCGACCAGGGAUAUGAGUAGUUUAUUUCUGAAUCACUUCGCGGGAUUCAAAUACUUCCCUUUAUGCACCUGGCAGGAAAAUCAAAAGUUUUUGGGUCCGGGGAGAAAGAAUGGUCCGAGUGGUUGAACCUUAAGGAAAUGGACGGAGGGACACCCCCCCCAACCGAAGGGGGAGGUUAAUUUGAUUCAACACGGGAAAAAUUAACAAGGUCCCGCACAUAUAAAGGUAUGGACAUAUUUAUAUACCUCUUUCAUGAAUAACAAGGGGGGAUGGUUUCUGGACCCAUCCAAAUUGGUUUUACGGACUCCACCAGUAUAAAUUCCCCUUACUAGGGGGAGACAUAUCACCGGAGAAAAAGGGGAACGCGCCAUUUCCAUAACAGGAUAUGGGGGGGGAGAAAACCCCCGGAAAGGGAGGGGAGCCCUUUUCCUUAAUUCUUUCUUGGGGGUGGAGAAUACGCGGGGGAAGUGUGAGGGUUGUUUUAUAUUAAAGGUAGUGUCUGUUCUGGAGAUACUCCCCACCACAUCUUAUGUUGGUAUUCACCAUGGAAGCAACUCCCCCCUACGAAAAAUCUUCUCACUUUCCACAUUGGGCGACUUCAUAGGUGAUGUAUGUUUAAGAACAAAAAGAACAAGCAAGCCAGAACACACCACGCGUGCGCGCCCUGGGGACUGUAUUAAAUAGGAGAAGACACAUCCAGCGGAACCCGCCUGUGCCUCGCACCUAUACCUUUUGGUUUUAUAUAUAUAUGAUAAACAACGACUCGCCCUCCAUUGACUGGGAGUUGUUUCUGUUGAUUGCGCCAAUUAAGGAUGAGGGUGGAUUAUACGACUGUUCCACUCUAUAAUGAACUCCCAUGGACUCUCGCUGAUGAUUAGUUUAGCCAAAUUACACUGGUGAAAGGGCCAUAUACGCCUGCGCAAUAUUUGUACAUACGCUCGAAAAGCCAGGUUGAGUCGUAUUUAUUGUCUACUCGAAAUACACAAACAUGUACUAUACCCAAU
rnacentral:rRNA from 1 species